rnacentral:rRNA from 4 species
UACGUAGGGAGCGAGCGUUGUCCGGAAUGACUGGGUGUAAAGGGAGCGUAGGCGGGAUGGCAAGUCAGAUGUGAAACCUGAGGGCUCAACCUUCAGACUGCAUUUGAAACUGCUGUUCUUGAGUGAAGUAGAGGUAAGCGGAAUUCCUGGUGUAGCGGUGAAAUGCGUAGAGAUCAGGAGGAACAUCGGUGGCGAAGGCGGCUUACUGGGCUUUUACUGACGCUGAGGCUCGAAAGCGUGGGGAGCAAACAGG